GAAGAAUACCAUCUAGGAACCAGGAAGCAGGCCCUCACCAGACACAAACCGCAGGAGCUCCCUCAGCCCAUAUGCAGAAGAGCCCAAAAGUACAGGGAGAAUUAACACCAUAGGGACAAACCUCAACCAAAGAUAUAACGGAUAAGGCAGGAGAUGAACAAAGCGUGUGGGUGCCCUCAAGAUGUGUAUGACUAUGGAACAGGAGACUGGAGGGACCCAUGGAUUCCAACCAUGGACCUGGUUCCCCCAGUAUGAGCCACAAGCCAGUUGAAUCUGAAUGCGAAGACGGAACGAGGACCAACUGGAGUCACACUGACAUCAACCCCCAUAACAUGGGGACAGAUCAAGA
rnacentral:lncRNA from 1 species